GACGAACGCUGGCGGCGUGCUUAACACAUGCAAGUCGAACGGAAAGGCCCUGCUUUUGUGGGGUGCUCGAGUGGCGAACGGGUGAGUAACACGUGAGUAACCUGCCCUUGACUUUGGGAUAACUUCAGGAAACUGGGGCUAAUACCGGAUAGGAGCUCCUGCUGCAUGGUGGGGGUUGGAAAGUUUCGGCGGUUGGGGAUGGACUCGCGGCUUAUCAGCUUGUUGGUGGGGUAGUGGCUUACCAAGGCUUUGACGGGUAGCCGGCCUGAGAGGGUGACCGGCCACAUUGGGACUGAGAUACGGCCCAGACUCCUACGGGAGGCAGCAGUGGGGAAUAUUGCACAAUGGGCGGAAGCAUGAGGCAGCAACGCCGCGUGCGGGAUGACGGCCUUCGGGUUGUAAACCGCUUUCGCCUGUGACGAAGCGUGAGUGACGGUAAUGGGUAAAGAAGCACCGGCUAACUACGU
rnacentral:rRNA from 1 species